UAUGUACUCCCUCCGUCCGGAAUUACUUGUCGCAUAAAUGGAUAGAAAUGGAUGUAUCUACAACUAAAAUACAUCUAGAUACAUCCAGUUCAUCGACAAGUAUUUCUGGACGGAGGGAGUAUUAA
rfam:Triticum aestivum genome assembly, contig: Triticum_aestivum_CS42_TGACv1_scaffold_602720_7DL